GCGCGAGUGGCGGAAUUGGCAGACGCACUAGCUUGAGGUGCUAGCCCUCGCAAGAGGAUCGGGGUUCGAGUCCCCGCCCGCGCACCA
rnacentral:tRNA from 1 species